rnacentral:rRNA from 1 species
GACGAACGCUGGCGGCGUGCUUAACACAUGCAAGUCGAACGAAAAUACCAAGCUUGCUUGGUUGAUUAGUGGCGAACGGGUGAGUAACACGUGAGUAACCUGCCCCUUACUUUCCUGGAUAACUGCUCGAAAGGGUAGCUAAUACGGGAUAUUCUGACCAGCAUGCAUGGGUUGGUUUGGAAAGGUUGUUUUUCUGGUAAGGGAUGGGCUCGCGGCCUAUCAGCUGGUUGGUGGGGUGAUGGCCUACCAAGGAUUUGACGGGUAGCCGGCCGGCGGGGGUGCACGGCCACACUGGAACCGAGAUACGGCCUAGACUCCUACGGGAGGGAGCAGUGGGGAAUAUGGCGCAAGGGGGGCAAGCCGGAUGCAGCGACGUCGGGGGAGGGAGGAAGGCCUUCGGGGUGUAAACCUCUUUCGUCAGGGAACAACGCACUGCUUUUUUGGUGGUGUUGAGGGUACCUGGAUAAGAAGCGCCGGCUAACUACGUG